CUUCCUCUCUCUGUCUCUCUUUAAAUGUUGACUUUUGCCAAUCAGCACGGAAUACACUUUCUUCUGCUUCCUUUCCAACCCCCUCAAGGAAUGAUUCAUUGUUGUGCCUUAGAACGAAGAAAGAGGAGAACCUGGGCAGGGAGUACAUCCACCUCUCCUCUCUCUUCCCCUGACGCUCACACUUCCGGUUCAUCCCGGAAAGCUUGGAAGCUGGUUGGUGGGAAAACCACGUCCUGGGGCCUGCAAGUAGCUCUGGCUUCUUCCUGCUCACCGUUUCUGCUCCUCCUCGGCGAUCGAUCUGGCACGUCUGCCUGGUGGACUGGGUUCUGCGGCCCCAGAGCCAUCUGGAGGCCGAGCUUCCACACCGCCUCAAGCGCUGGAAGUCCUUCAGGGAUUCCGAAUGAAGUCUGUCCGCAGGGUGCGGCUCCUUGCCGCGCGCCUUCCCGACGUCCUCGCCCGCUAUCUACAGUCUGCAGCUGCGGGAAGGAAGCAAUAAAGCCGAGCUGGGCGCCCUCCCAG
rnacentral:lncRNA from 1 species